rnacentral:lncRNA from 1 species
AUGUAUUAAAACGGUAUAAUCUCAUCAGAGAGAUAAUACAUAGAAAUGACGUAAAGAGAAGAGCAAUUUUCCACAUUUAAUAAAAUUGCAGAUCCACUGACAAAGAGUUGUCGUAGUAUAAACAUGAUCGUCAUGUAGACUUAUGAUAUUUGAUACAUAAGUGAUUGGAUCUAGUGCAAGUGGGAGUUUGUAAGUAUUAUGCCCUAGGUCCAAUCGACUUUGGACAUAAAUACUUUUAUAUAUAAUUAAUGCAAUUAAAUGGCAGAUCUAUUAUUUAAUU